rnacentral:rRNA from 1 species
GACGUAGGGCGCGAGCGUUGUCCGGAAUUAUUGGGCGUAAAGAGCUCGUAGGUGGUUCGGUAAGUCGGAUGUGAAAUCUCCAGGCUCAACCUGGAGGGGUCAUUCGAUACUGCCGUGACUAGAGUUCGGUAGGGGAGUGUGGAAUUCCUGGUGGAGCGGUGAAAUGCGCAGAUAUCAGGAGGAACACCCGUAGCGAAGGCGGCACUCUGGGCCGAUACUGACACUGAGGAGCGAAAGCGUGGGGAGCGAACAGG